GAACAAUAAGAUCAUCGUAAUCGAAAGAUGUAUAACAUCGAUAUUAGAUUCUGAUUUAAAACUGGGUACAAAGACUGUAAUAACGUUACAUGAACCAGCGAUUUUGAGAUCACCAGUGAUCUCAAUUGACAGUUGCAGCAGUUUGGUCAGUAGUAAAAGCUGCGCAUGGAGCAGCUGUACUUCGAGUAGUAGUACUUUCUGCGAAAGUGAAACUUCUUCGUGUAACUAAAAAUGUUAUUGUCUAAUCGUGAAAGGUAAAUAUCUCAAUGAAUCCUUGAUCUUGCUUCGAUUAUCGAUCAUUUUUUGUUAUAUUUCCUUUCUUUCUUUUUUGUAUUACUUCCAUCUUCUCUUCCUCUUCAUCUCCUUCUUCUUCUUCCCCCAUUUCAACGAAGAAAAAUGUCGUAUAAUCGUUGUUGUCUUAACAAGAUGGUAGAACAAGAUCGUUCGGUUAAUGUAAUAAAAAGUAUAUACCAUGAUAGGAGGAGCAGUUUGUCCGGUAAGCACGUUUCCAGAAAAAGAAAGAAACGACGAAUAAAAUGAAUACCACCAAUAUAAUCGAUCCACUCCCUAAUAAAGAGCCAUACGACGAUCUAACAGGAAAGACUUACGGGGUAAGAAGAAGUAGAGGAGGAUCUUACGAGAACGUCAGAUUCACGGUAGCUUGUCCGUUCUCGAUGGAGAAGAAACAGGACACAAAGGGCGUGCGUCGAAGCGAGGAGGAGAAAGAAGAAGGAGAAGAAGAAGAUGAAGAAGAAGAAGAAGAAGAAGAAGAAGAAGAAGAAGAAUUGAGUGAAUGGAGAAAGAAGAAGAAGAAGAAGAAGAAGAGAUCGUGCGGAUUCGAUAGGCAAGUAGCCACGAGCUCGCACGGAUCCCAGCGCGAUCUUGCUCGCGAUCUGUCCAACGUAUUUGUGGAAACAAAGAGUACGAGGAGAAGAGUAAGAGAAAGAGGAGGAGCAGGAAUAAGAAAGAGAAAGAGAGAUGGCUGUUCCGAGCAAUGCGAGAUACGUUCGAUCGAACGAGAAAGGAUCAAGAAGGGAUCGAGGAACGAUCGUCGUCGUUCGUCAACGUAGGUUGCCACGAGUCUUGCUCCACAAAUCGAAGGAUUAGUUUACCCUUAGUACGAUCGGAGACGCUAGAAGGAGAUAGAUCGAUAUCAGAGAAAUCGAUGGGAGUUACGACGAUGGACGACGAACGAAGCGAACCCAGGACGAUCUUAACAAAAUUACGGAAAAUACGUAUGAGCUGUAUCGAGAUAAUCAAACGUAUCUACCAUGAAAUUUGUCCAAGAAGGGUGAUCGGCUUCCGGUGUGACAUCAGAAAAUGUACCAACACCCUUUCGGAAUGUAGUAUGGGACCUUGCAAAAAGGAUAUCAUGGUAUUCGAGGUCAUCGACCGGAGGAAAAUCGAUCCUAAGAUAAUAUUACAGUCUUUUACGGACGAUCAUUGAUCGAUCAUAUUUAUAUGGCGAUCGUGAACUGGCUAUUCACCAAAGCAAAUCGACUUUUAUCGUUUUAUAAGAAGAUCUAAGCUAUCCUCUUCAUUCUGAAUGAACGAACGCUCGUAUAUUCUUCUCGAUUUUACCUUGCAUUGUAUGUUGGGUCGAAGAACAAAAAAAAAAGAAAAAAAAAGAAAAAUGAUAAAGAAAAAAAAAAAGGAAAAAGUUUUCGUAAAUAAAGAAAUAAUAUCAUCAAGAAUUUUUCGGCUCUCUCUCUAUCUUUCUUUAUUAAAUAUCUAAGCGAUGAAAAAAGUUGAUACUUUAUCAUACAGUUUUGUUCGAUCGACGUGUCUGAGUAUACUUAGUGCGUUUUACUUACU